rnacentral:rRNA from 1 species
UAAACUAGGAUUUAGAUACCCUAUUAUACUUAUAAAAGAAUUGUGUAACACUAGGAGAUUAAUAGUUAUGGUCUUUAAAUUUAAAGAAUUUGGCGGUAUCUUAGUCUUGUUAGAGGAACCUGUCUUAUAAAACGAUAAACCACGAAAAAUCUUACUUAUUUAAUAGUUUAGUUUGUAUACCGUCAUUAAAGAUAACUUUAAAAGAAAAAGUUAGUUGUUAAAAUUACUUGAGGGUUAAUAUAUUAGAUCAAGGUGCAGUUAAUAAAUAAGGUAAGAUGGGUUACAAUAUAAGUUUAUAUAAAACGGAUUAAGAAAUGAAAUAAGGUUAUAAAGGAGGAUUUAAUUGUAAGUAGAUUUUAAUAAGGUUUAUUGAUAAAGGCUCUAAGUUAUGUACAUAUUGCCCGUCGCUUUCGUUAUUAAAAUGAAAUAAGGUCGUAACAUAGUAGAUGUACUGGAAAGUGCUUA